GACGAACGCUGGCGGCGUGCUUAACACAUGCAAGUCGAACGGAAAGGCCCUGCUUUUGUGGGGUGCUCGAGUGGCGAACGGGUGAGUAACACGUGAGUAACCUGCCCUUGACUUUGGGAUAACUUCAGGAAACUGGGGCUAAUACCGGAUAGGAGCUCCUGCUGCAUGGUGGGGGUUGGAAAGUUUCGGCGGUUGGGGAUGGACUCGCGGCUUAUCAGCUUGUUGGUGGGGUAGUGGCUUACCAAGGCUUUGACGGGUAGCCGGCCUGAGAGGGUGACCGGGCACAUUGGGACUGAGAUAAGGCCCAGACUCCUACGGGAGGCAGCAGUGGGGAAUAUUGCACGAUGGGCGGAAGCCUGAUGCAGCAACGCCGCGUGCGGGAUGACGGCCUUCGGGUUGUAAACCGCUUUCGCCUGUGACGAAGCGUGAGUGACGGUAAUGGGUAAAGAAGCACCGGCUAACUACGUG
rnacentral:rRNA from 1 species